rnacentral:rRNA from 1 species
AGCAGCCGCGGUAAUUCCAGCUCCAAUAGCGUAUAUUAAAGUUGUUGCAGUUAAAAAGCUCGUAGUUGAAUUUCGGGAUCAGUUGGUCGGUCGUGCCUCGGUACGUACUGGUCAAAUUGAUUCCUACCUUCUGACGAACCACGAUGUCAUUAAUUUGGUGUCGCGGGAAAUCAGGACUGUUACUUUGAAAAAAUUAGAGUGUUUAAAGCAGGCUCGCGCUUGAAUACAUUAGCAUGGAAUAAUGAAAUAGGACGUUUGAUUCUAUUUUGUUGGUUUCUAGGAUCGACGUAAUGAUUAAUAGGGAUAGUUGGGGGCAUUAGUAUCCAAUUGUCAGAGGUGAAAUUCUUGGAUUUAUUGAAGACUAACUACUGCGAAAGCAUUUGCCAAGGAUGUUUUCAUUAAUCAAGAACGAAAGUUAGGGGAUCGAAGACGAUCAGAUACCGUCGUAGUCUUAACCAUAAACUAUGCCGACUAGGGAUCGGAUGAUGUUAAUUUUUUAAUGACUCAUUCGGCGCCUUAA